rnacentral:lncRNA from 1 species
GCAGGAGGGGAGAUUCCAGGCAGAGGAAACUGCUUGGGGUAAAGAAAACAAAAAACGCAAAACCCAGCAUGGUGCGUACUGGAGAUGCAGAUGCUGUGGCUCAAAGGAUUAAUUAAUUUGCUUAAGAUAAUGCAACAUGAGAAAAGCAGAUCAGGACGGAAUUCCAGAACAAGGAUUUUGCUUGGAAUAACAUCACUACUAAUUGUC